rnacentral:rRNA from 1 species
UACGUAGGCAGCAAGCGUUGUUCGGAAUUACUGGGCGUAAAGAGUGUGUAGGCGGUGCUCUAAGUUCGGUGUGAAAUCUCCUGGCUCAACUGGGAGGGUGCGCCGGAAACUGGGGUGCUGGAGCGCGGGAGAGGAAAGCGGAAUUCCUGGUGUAGCGGUGAAAUGCGUAGAUAUCAGGAGGAACACGGCGGUGUAGACCGGCUUUCUGGACCGUAGCUGACGCUGAGACACGAAAGCGUGGGUAGCAAACAG